UACAGCCAUAUCAUGUUAAAACACCGGUUCCCGUACGAUCACCGAAGUUAAGCAACAUCGAGCUUGUUCAGUACCUAGAUGGGUGACCGCUUGGGAAUGUCAGGUGUUGUAAG